rnacentral:rRNA from 1 species
UACGUAGGGUGCAAGCGUUAAUCGGAAUUACUGGGCGUAAAGCGUGCGCAGGCGGUGAUGUAAGACAGUUGUGAAAUCCCCGGGCUCAACCUGGGAACUGCAUCUGUGACUGCAUCGCUGGAGUACGGCAGAGGGGGGAUGGAAUUCCGCGUGUAGCAGUGAAAUGCGUAGAUAUGCGGAGGAACACCGAUGGCGAAGGCAAUCCCCUGGGCCUGUACUGACGCUCAUGCACGAAAGCGUGGGGAGCAAACAGG